GUGAGGAAUUUUCCGCAAUGGGCGAAAGCCUGACGGAGCAAUGCCGCGUGAAGGAUGAAGGCCUAUGGGUUGUAAACUUCUUUUCUCAGAAAAGAAUUAUGACGGUAUCUGAGGAAUAAGCAUCGGCUAACUCUGUGCCAGCAGCCGCGGUAAGACAGAGGAUGCAAGCGUUAUCCGGAAUGAUUGGGCGUAAAGCGUCUGUAGGUUGUUUAAAAAGUAUUCUGUCAAAGAUUAGGACUUAACCCUAGAUAGGCAGAAUAAACUUUUAAGCUAGAGUUUGGUAGAGGCAGAGGGAAUUCCCGGUGGAGCGGUGAAAUGCGUAGAUAUCGGGAGGAACACCAAAGGCGAAGGCACUCUGCUGGGCCAAUACUAACACUGAGAGACGAAAGCGAGGGGAGCAAAUGGGAUUAGAAACCCUGGUAGUCC
rnacentral:rRNA from 1 species